AUUGAACGCUGGCGGCAGGCUUAACACAUGCAAGUCGAACGAGUGGCGGACGGGGGAGUAAUGCUUGGGAAUAUAGCUUAUGGUGGGGGAUCACUACGAGAAACUGGAGCUAAUACCGCGUACCAUAGGAUGAGCCCAGGUGGGAUUAGGUAGUUGUGGAGGUAAAGGCUAACCAAGACGACGAGUUCUAGCUGGUCCGAGAGGAUGACCAGCCACACUGGAACUGAGACACGGCCCAGACGCCUACGGGAGGCAGCAGUGGGGAAUAUUGCGCAAUGGGGGCAACCUGACACAGCCAUGCCGCGUGAGUGAUGAAGGCCUUCGGGUUGUAAAGUUCUUUCGUUAGCGAAGCGUUAACUACACAAGAAGCACCGGCUAACUCCGUGCCAGCAGCCGCGGUAAUAC
rnacentral:rRNA from 1 species